GACGUAGGGUGCGAGCGUUGUCCGGAUUUAUUGGGCGUAAAGAGCUCGUAGGCGGCUCGUCGCGUCGACCGUGAAAACCCGCGGCUUAACUGCGGGCUUGCGGUUGAUACGGGCGGGCUAGAGUUCGGUAGGGGAGACUGGAAUUCCUGGUGUAGCGGUGGAAUGCGCAGAUAUCAGGAGGAACACCGAUGGCGAAGGCAGGUCUCUGGGCCACUACUGACGCUGAGAAGCGAAAGCAUGGGGAGCGAACAGG
rnacentral:rRNA from 1 species